GAAUUUGAAGAAUUCUAAUAAACUUUCAAUGUUCAAGAUUUCUGAAAAUCUGACGAAGAAUGAUGAAUCCUUGUGAUGAAUGUGAAGAAGUUGGAACAGAGAAGGUUGAAUCUGAACCUACACAUGAAAACUCGAACUUUCUUCUAUAUUUCUAAAACUUUUGAUUCUUUAUCUUUCUAUUAAGAAGUCAAUGUUUUUAAGUUAUAUAAUCCUAAAAAUAUGAUUUUAAUCUUAUCAAGCCAUGAGAAAUGUUAAUCAUGAGCUUUUUUAUAUAAAAUUCUUUAUCUAAUUGAGAUUUCGAAAGAAAGAAAGCUUUUAAUUUGAGAGUAAAGAUUUUAGUUUGUAUAACGAAGAUUUUAAUUUGGAAAAAAGGAAAUAAAACUAUAUAUCGUCUUUUUCAGACGAAGAAUGGGUUGAUUAUACUGUAACCCUAUUAAGUCUCCAGGUCUCAGCUUUUACGAGAUCUUAGAUUAAACGUGUUCUCCCAAAACUUCAAUCAUCCUGCAAAUCUACCACCUACAACAUCGUCCACAAAUCUUCAUUCGUCGAGUACAUGAACCAUGCGAAAUCAUAAAUAGACUAUGAACCUUGAGCCUUGCAAUAUUCAUCGGUAAUGUUAUGCACAUGCAGAUACCUUAAAUAUAUGUAUUCAGGACCGUCUCUACCCUGAUGUUCAUAUACUUCUCUGUCUGAUAGAUGUAAUGGAAUAGAUACUCUCCACCUGGUGAGAUCUUCUGAUGUCGUCUUCUUUCUUAAGAACUGUUCUAGAUUACUUUGGCCGUCUUCCACCAUCGUGACUCUACCUGAUCAUCAUCCUGAGCAUGUGAAUGUGACUCCACCUCCUCUGUUCUACAACUCGGAGUGCUGAUUGCUCCGAACGAGCUGCCUCCGACUGGAUACGCUGAUUUACGAGGACUUAUGUUGGAACGUCAUAUGCUUUAGACGUGUCCUGUUAAGAUUCCUCAAGAUCAGAGAACAAUAUCAAGGAUGUCGUCUUCCCCUUGUUUCUCUGAUACUCUCCUUCACUGCUUUAAGGAUCGCACCUAAAGACUAGAAAGGACUCUGAAUGAAGUAUAAGAUAUUCUCUCUCUAAACUGUAGCUCAUAUCAAGACCCCAGCCAGAGCAACUUUGUAAGUGUGUUUUAAAUAUUGAACAUUUUACUAAUAUGAUUUCUUUGUGAUUCAAAAACUAAAUUUCUUUAUUGAGAC